rnacentral:misc_RNA from 1 species
GUAUGUAUUCCAGAGUUUAUUUCCCAGAAAUUGGGGUCAAACCCAACUCCAGAGUCACUUGUUCCAUAUACCCUGUAAAAGCAUGACAUCAAACAAUAGCAUCGUCGAACAUAACAAGUAUUCCGAUCUGGACACUGCAACCCUACACGCAGAUCGGAAUACUACACAUUUAAUCCCACUGCCCAACUUCUGAUGCCAAAAUCAUAUCUAAACACCCUUCCAACUAGAGCUCUGGAGAUAUCUGGCACAACCAAUCACAGAUACUAUAAAUUAUCACCAGCCAACCAAUGAGAGCACCAGCAGUUCUGACAGCUAGGACAAGAUGAAAGUCGAGUAAAAUGGUGAGUGCACCGUAUGUUUAUUCCACCACCUCCUCCAAAUGUAAGCCCGAAACCAAUAGUUGCUCUUAUUAAAACAUUCUACCUCCAACCCAUGUAACCAGACAAGGGGAUUUACUUAGGAAUUUCUCACCAUACAGAUGUUUCACUAUUUGUCUUCACCUGGAAGGAGAACUCAGCGAAAUUUGUUCAGUAGCAAGCCCCCGUCAAGGAGCCACAGCCACCCAUGCUCCAACAAAAACUUAAAAUUUGAAAUUUGACAAAGGAUUCAAAGUUGGAGUUCAUAUUUGGUAGCAAGAGGACGCAGUACAUUCAACGAAGUCAUUUUCAGAACCAUCUAUGCUUUUAUACUCAUCUCACACAAUAUAUCGACCACCCCAGAUGGACUUUCCAUGAUAUUGCUCAGACAUUGGAGUAAAUUGCUGAUUUCCAUUCAAGAGUUGUUGCUGCAGCUGCUCUUGCUGUAAUCUUAGAUGCUCAAAGGCAUGGUAAUUCUGCCAGCCUUUCUGUUUUUCAGUCUGGAAUUGGCCUGAUGACACCUGUUUUCCAGGAAAAGGGAAGCUAACUGUCCCAGUAAAGCCAUUACUGCUAUUGAUACACUGAUGCAUUGCUUGAGAAGUUAUAGUAGUGGCAUUACUGAACCCAGACCCCCUUGUUGACGAUGGCAACUGAUAACCAUCCAACCAACUAUAAUCAUCUGUCAAUGAAUUCUCAGUCAUCAAAUCUGAGCCAGAAACAGCNNNNNACUUGUUUAAGAGGAACAUGACUAAAGCCUGGAGGAGGCCCAAGGUGCCUUACAGGUCGACUGACUGGAGUUUUCCUCAAGCCUGCUGGCAAAGCUGCUGAUGUCUUCACAGACAAACUUUCAGUGAUAACAUCAACCUUUGAUGGAAUCACAGCUUCUGGCACUUUUGCCUGAUUGUAGAAAAUACUAGUAUUAACAUUUGCAGGUUGGAUGGGAAGUGAAUGUGCAGCAGGAUGGCCUAUGCCUAAAUCUUUUGGCAACUCAUGCUCUGUUACAUGCCCAUUCUCUGUGAACCUAAUAGNNNNNNNNNNNNAGCUAUUUGCAAGCGAAGCAGCUUCUUCCAUUAACCACUUUGAGGCAGGCGGUUGAAUAGGUUGUAGAUGCUGGGAAACAUUAAUGCCAGAGGAUGCAGAUAUUUGAGAACCUGCAUCAAAAGCAGAAUGCUGCAGCAGAUCAAGAGGAGAUGAAACAGAACCACCAUAAAAUUUCAGAUCAGCAGAUACAUCUUGAUUCUGUUUCAUGCCAUCAUAGGGGACCCAUUUUGGACUAAGCCCUUCAUUUCGCUUCUCUGUUGCUGCAGGCCUGAAAACAAUUACUUCAUCCUCCUCGUCCCCUUCUAUAUAUGGCUGUGCAUUAGGCUUCAAAACUCCCACAUUAAUGGUUUUCUGAGGCUGAAUUUCUUGCACCACAUCACCAGUUUUUGGCAGACCAGACUCAAAAGUCAACAUGCCGCCAUCUGAAAUUUGAGGCUCCACACCUAUGACAAAUUUCUUCAUCCUUGAAUCAUAAAAUACUGUUUUUUGAUCAAUCCUAGCUAUAUUUG